rnacentral:tRNA from 2 species
AAAAACUUAGUUAAAUAAAAUAACAUUAACUUGUCAAGUUAAAAUUACCAAAAGGUAGUUUUUG